UUUAGGAGUAAACAGUAACUCAGCAGUCAAACAGAACAAGAAGCAACAUGAGCAGCAUGAAAAAGCAAGGAAGAAAAGUAGUACAAACAAUGCAGGACAGCCUAAAUAUUCAGGAGGAUAUAGAGUCAUCAGAAAAAAUGGUCAUAUAAAGAACUCAAGGAAUACCUUAGACAGAUGGAAUGGAACCUUAAAGAGGAUAUGAGACAGCAAAUUCAAGCAGUGAAAGAACACAUUGAGAAUGAAUUACAUAAACAGAUAAAAGAAGAAGUUAAGCAUCUUUAUCAGGAGAUAGAGAUUAUAAAAAAGAAUCAAACAAUAAUCUUAGAAAUGAAGGAAAUUAUAAACCAAAUUAAAAACUCAAAUGAGAGUAUCACUAAUAGAGUGGAGCAAGUAGAAGCCAGAAUGUCAGAUAAUGAAGACAAAAUAUAUCAUCUUGAAAAGAGUCUAGCCAACUCAGAUAGGCUGGUUAAAAAUCACAAGAGAAACAUCCAAGAGAUAUGUGAUAACAUAAAAAAACCAAAUUGAAGAGUCAUCGGGAUAGAGGAAGGUACAGAGAUUCAAACCAAUGGAAUGAGUAACCUGCUACAUGAAAUAAUUACAGAAAAC
rnacentral:lncRNA from 1 species